rnacentral:rRNA from 1 species
CCUACGGUAGGCAGCAGUGGGGACUUUUGCGCAAUGCUCGUAAGAGUGACGCAGCGACGCCGCGUGAAUGACGAAGGCCUUCGGGUCGUAAAGUUCUUUCGACAGGGAAGACAAUGCCUAUAAGUAACUGUGUAUGGAUUGACGUUCCCUAUAUAAGCAGCCCCGGCUAACUCCGUGCCCGCAGCCGCGGUAAUACGGAGGGGGCGAGCGUGGAUCGGAGUGGCUGGGCGUACAGAGCACGUAGGCGGUGUUGUAAGUCAUUAGUUAAAGACUAGAGCUCAACUUUAGUAAGGCUAGUGAUACUAUAAUACUAGAGUAUCAGAGAGGAUUGCAGAAUUCCUGGUGUAGCGGUGAAAUGCGUAGAUAUCAGGAGGAAUACCGUUAGCGAAGGCGGCAAUCUGGCUGGAAACUGACGCUGAGGUGCGAAAGCGUGGGUAGCAAACAGGAUUAGAUACCCGUGUAGUC